rnacentral:rRNA from 1 species
AUGAGGUUCCAGGGCCCCAGGUGUUCGUUCCGGGAGGACGCGGCCGACAUGGCGGGCGCCAUCUUCAUGUCCAACAGCGAGACAAGGGAUCACUGCUUCAACACGGGAGUCUUCGGGCUACCGCCAGAGUACGUGCCCUUUGUGGCCAAUGUCAAGUAGGGGAUGCCCCUGUUCCUCUUUGACUACACAUUCUGUAAGCUUUACGGUGUCUUCGAGGCCGCCUCGGAUGGCGGCAUGGAUAUCAGCAGGACCGCAUUCCGGUCCACUGGCGGCACAUACCUCGCAAAGGUUUGCUUCAAUAUUGUUUGGAAGUGCAGACCGCUCACUGAGGAUGAAUUUUUUCCUGCCACUGAAGAGAACUACUAUAUCUCAAAGAAGUUCUACUUCGACCUUUCCUACCAGCAGGUCGUCCAUCUAUAUGGCUUAUUUGACAAAAAGAGGGUAGAGCACCCUAUUUGCAAUUAUUCAACAAGUGCUAAUCUGGAAAAGGAGCACUCAAGCAGAAGGAGACCAGACAAAAGGAGCUUGACUCCAAAUAGUCCUCCUUUUUCUGCUGAUCGUUCCCACACUUUGAUACCCUCGAGUACCCCAAAGAUCUCAACCGUCGAAACAAACUGAUCUGCUUCUACAAGCAUGCAUCUAAUUGUACCACCCACUUUUGAGACACAGCCAAGUGUGUCGAUGCCCUUGGUAACUAAACCUUUUGGAGUCCAGACUGCUCCCAUCCACAGCAACCAAAUAAAACUACCUUAUUAUAGUCAAGAACAUCUCCGAGAUGUUUCAGCAAUAGGUGGCACUUCAACUCAGGUGUCUGCUCCUUACUCUCAGACAGCUAUAUACCACCAAGAUCAGUUUGUGGCAAAUCAGUCGUACCCAUCAUCUGAUGAUUAUCCGCACAAUAGCUUGUCUUCUGGGUGCAUGACACAAGGUCCAACUGAUGGAGUUAGGUUGUCAGUAAAGCAGUCAUAUGGAGGCAGUAGCUUGUCAUGUUCUCGGUAUUUACCUCCAGUUCCAACUGGUGCUGAAAGAAGCUAUUUGAUCUCAACUCCGUAUUUCCCAUCACAUGAUUCAUCUCUAGCAAGUCCGCAACACAAUGCUCACAGGAAGGAUGAUUACGACAUUAACUGUGACCAAUGUAGAGCGAUGUAUGCAUCUGAGCAACUGCAUUUAAACAGAGGAAAAUCUGUUACACCUCCAGAAUCAACUCACCUAGGUAUUCCGGCUUACCCUGAUGCUCCUGAAGUAUCAGCAAUCAUUCAACAUAAAGAAAGCUUUACUGGCUACAUACCAAUCAAUGGUCGCCCUAAGGACUUGGAAAAAGAACAGCAGAGACGUGAUUUUAAUCAGGAUGGUUCAGUCUCAUCAGGUUCUGGACAUGAAACAUUAGCCUACAUUUCAAAUCGACCAUAUGAAAGCAACAUGGCAAUUCCUAGUCAGCGUCCACAAAAGCAUGUGUUUUCUCGCUUGUCAGUGAAGCCACAACUACCUCCCCAAGAAAUUACAGGACCUUCAAUGAACCAACUGCUCUAUUUACUUUCUCAGAGAACAAAACAGUGGAGCAAAAAGAGUAUAAGUCCUAGAGAAGAUGUUUGUAAAUAGCUGGUCCGUGAACAGGACAUGGACAUGUCGUAUCCUCCUGCAGAGCUAAAGCUGCCAAGCGGACUAGAAGGAGAAGAAUGCGCAGAUCCUCCCUUCUUUAACUUCAAGAGGUGCAGCAAAGCGGCUGGGCCAGAUACAGAUGUAGGACAGGAGGUUAGUGACAAAAAGAAGAGAAGAAAGCUUGUGCGCCCUUCUUUUUGAGAAAAUAACACCACUGGUACUUCUGACCUCCAAGGGAAUGCCAUAGUUGAAAGGAAUCAUAGCCCUGUCAAAACUGAUGGUAACAAGUUCAUCAUUGACCUAAAUGAACCGGCAUCUGCAGAAAGUGAGCUGGCAGAGGAUGGUAGCAUUGCACCGUGUCCUGUUGCUGCCAACAUACAGACAGAGAAAUCGUGUGAUGUAGAUGUGAAAAAGCAAAACUGCUCAAAUUUGGCUGAGGUAAUCAGCAAACAAGAUGUACAGUCUGACAGUGGUGCGCCUACAGAGAAGAUUACACUUGAUCUGAACAUUACCAAUCUGAACACAAUGGACGAGGGGAAACUGCAAGUGAUCCUUGGCUCAUCAUUGUUGCAAGCACUUGACAAGCUCAGAAAUAGCAAGUCCAACAACGACUCCAAACAGGCUAAAUCAAGCCUCUCUGAUAAAAAUAAAAUCAGCCAGGUGAAAAUGGAGAUGAACUAUGCCAACCUGCAGCUUUGUUGUACUAGUGAUAGUAGUAUAAUGCAAGUUUUGACAAUCCAUGCAUAUUUCUGCAUCAUAAUAAUCUUCUUCUUCUAG